rnacentral:tRNA from 1 species
GUCCUUGUAGCUUACAACUAAAGCAUAACACUGAAGAUGUUAAGACGUUGCCUCAUGCAUCCAGGGACA